UGUGAUUUUUGUGUGGUCAAGGUGGUGAGGUCGCGAAGAUGCUCUGUCUGUGUGGCAGAAGGGCAGGAUCGACGCAGUUUUUCCAGUUCCGAGCUUUCUGAGGGCAGGAUCAUGUUGAGCUGCUUCCUUUUUCUUUAUGAUGAUGAGUUUGGACGUAGUGAGGUUUUGCCCGUUCGUGACCGACAGACAGGCUAAUAACCAUGAAGAAGAACCUGGCUGCAAAUUACUGCCGCGUCAAGAAAGAGAAAUGCUGCCCACAAGUUCAAAAUAAGUACGGCUUCAGCUAAACAAUCUCAAAUCCCGUCCCAGUUCAUACGACAGACUGACAGACAGACAUACAGUCAAUCUAGACACCAACGGACGAAGGCAACAACAAAAUGGCACAUUCUGGCAAACUGAAGCUAAAACACCAUGAGACAGGCCCCCUUCCAAACUUGUAAAUUGGCAGAAACUAAACUAAACGGCGCAUCUCCAGCCUCCAAAAUGAUCCGUCUUCGAUCCUUGGGCGUGCGCAGCUCACCUAGGCACCAUCCUCCACAGCCGCGGGGCACUGACAGAAAAGAAACGACGAGACGGACACAGCGCAAAGACUCACCGGCGCCAUGAUCAUGCACAGCUUGAGCGCGAGCCCCACGAAGCACGCGAAGACGCCCACCGCGUAGUAGCGCCGGACCGCCGGCGUUGGGAGAGCACGCGGACCUGGUCACCGUAGUCGGGCACCAUGGAGACCAUGGAGACAAUCGCCGCCGUGAGCAGCAGCAACAGCAUGCCCAGCACCGGCACCGCCAGGGCCGGCCCUGAGGAGGGGGGGGG
rnacentral:lncRNA from 1 species